AAAACAGAGGGAUUAACUGCAGCCCUGCUGGCUCUAAGGAGUGGGGGAAAGAAGAUGCAACUUCCUUGUAUGAUCCUGUGGUCCAGUGCAUCUGCUAUAGAGUCCUGUGGAGACCGCCAGUGAACAUGGUUAGAAUCUGUUCCAGAACUGGAAUCACUGUCGCCACUCAAUGUUUUACAUGCAUUAAUGAGUCCUCCUCAGAAGCAGGCUACCUAGCUCAGCUAUACCACAACUCUCAUAACUAAUCUGUUGAGAACUGUCUCCCUGUGAACAUGAUUGAUUACUCCAAAAUCAAAUUAUGAUUGUGUGUUGAUUUUGAUUUUAAAAUGUUGAAUCAAUGUCAUCAUCAAUGAAGGCACAUUUUUGGCAAAACGAAUGAAGGUAGUCUUAAAGCUAUACACAAUGACCUGCAGAAUAUUUAGUAGCUAAUGUAUUAACUUCAGAAAGCAUUCUAAAGUGCCCUGAGAUGCAGCAACAUAAUAGUACCAUUCUUGCAUGCAUGUAAUAAGUGAUGAUCUUCAUUAGAAAAAUGUAACAAGUAGGAAACUGGAAAAGGGAGUGAACAUUCCUGGCACAGCUGAUAGGAAAACCCUGUAUUUUACCUGCUCCAUUGCUGCUUACUGAAAUAAUUAGAUAUGGGUGAUUUUCCAGGGAGGUCUACG